ACUCAAUAGAUACCCGGGUAGUCCACGCCCUAAACGAUGCAUACUUGGUGUGGGCAGUUCAGUCUGUCCGUGCCGAAAGCUAACGCGAUAAGUAUGCCGCCUGGGGAGUACGGUCGCAAGGCUGAGACUCAAAGGAAUUGACGGGGGCCCGCACAAGCGGUGGAGCAUGUGGUUUAAUUCGACGCAACGCGAAGAACCUUACCUGGGCUCGAACGGCUUUGGACCGGCCUUAGAAAUAGGGUCUUUCCCGCAAGGGACUGAAGUCGAGGUGCUGCAUGGCUGUCGUCAGCUCGUGUCGUGAGAUGUUGGGUUAAGUCCCGCAACGAGCGCAACCCUUGUCCUGUGUUGCAACUAAUAGGCACUCUCAGGAGACCGCCAGCGAUAAGCUGGAGGAAGGUGGGGAUGACGUCAAGUCAUCAUGGCCUUUAUGUCCAGGGCUACACACGUGCUACAAUGGACGGUACAAACCGCUGCGAACUCGCGAGAGGGAGCUAAUCGGAAAAAACCGUUCUCAGUUCGGAUUGCAGGCU
rnacentral:rRNA from 1 species